GCAUACGUUAGGGGGCAUGUUGAGUGUAUAUCUUGUAUCGAAAUUGCCAUUACCAUUUGGUUUUGGGGUUAUUGCUCUAGCAAUAGAAUUUAUAGGCUGAUAUUAGUCUCUGUGUGGCUGUGCCCAUUGGCUGAGGGCGGAUGUGCUCCCCCUGCGCACAUGAGUUUGACCAUUAUUUAGAUUAGUUUAAAAUCGUAUAUUGCUUGGAAAAAAAACAAGAACUCAUAAAAAGACAUGCACUUAGGUGGAGAGAUCCCAAUUUUUUUAAAUGCUUGGAAGGUCUAUUAUUAGCCGACCCCACUUAGUGGGAAAAGGCUUUGUUGUUGUUGUUGCUUGGAAGGUCUAUUAUGGAAAAGAAAGAAGCGUGGAUUUGUUCUACGGUUGACGGGGACUUUUAUUAUCAAAUUAUGGUGGUAAGUAAGAGGCACUAAGGGGAGAUUUGUUCCAAGGAAGAUGCCGCCGGCCCAUUUGAGUUUGAGUAGAAAGUUGUUCAAAUUACUCUGCCUGCGGUUUAUAUGUAAUGCAAGAGAUAAAUACUCAAGAAAAGUUGACUUUAGUCUUCUGAUAUUUGUUACAUUUGCUACUGCUAAUAGGUUUGCAUGUUUCAG
rnacentral:lncRNA from 1 species